rnacentral:rRNA from 2 species
UGACGAGUGGCGGACGGGUGAGUAAUGCUUGGGAACUUGCCUUUGCGAGGGGGAUAACAGUUGGAAACGACUGCUAAUACCGCAUAAUGUCUUCGGACCAAACGGGGCUUCGGCUCCGGCGCAAAGAGAGGCCCAAGUGAGAUUAGCUAGUUGGUAAGGUAACGGCUUACCAAGGCGACGAUCUCUAGCUGUUCUGAGAGGAAGAUCAGCCACACUGGGACUGAGACACGGCCCAGACUCCUACGGGAGGCAGCAGUGGGGAAUAUUGCACAAUGGGGGAAACCCUGAUGCAGCCAUGCCGCGUGUGUGAAGAAGGCCUUCGGGUUGUAAAGCACUUUCAGUUGUGAGGAAAAGUUAGUAGUUAAUACCUGCUAGCCGUGACGUUAACAACAGAAGAAGCACCGGCUAACUCCGUGCCAGCAGCCGCGGUAAUACGGAGGGUGCGAGCGUUAAUCGGAAUUACUGGGCGUAAAGCGCACGCAGGCGGUUUGUUAAGCUAGAUGUGAAAGCCCCGGGCUCAACCUGGGAUGGUCAUUUAGAACUGGCAGACUAGAGUCUUGGAGAGGGGAGUGGAAUUCCAGGUGUAGCGGUGAAAUGCGUAGAUAUCUGGAGGAACAUCAGUGGCGAAGGCGACUCCCUGGCCAAAGACUGACGCUCAUGUGCGAAAGUGUGGGUAGCGAACAGGAUUAGAUACCCUGGUAGUCCACACCGUAAACGCUGUCUACUAGCUGUGUGUGUCUUUAAGACGUGCGUAGCGAAGCUAACGCGCUAAGUAGACCGCCUGGGGAGUACGGCCGCAAGGUUAAAACUCAAAUGAAUUGACGGGGCCCGCACAAGCGGUGGAGCAUGUGGUUUAAUUCGAUGCACGCGAAGAACCUUACCUACACUUG